GUAGAUCUCGCCGAGUUCUCCCAGCGUCCUACCGGAGGCGCCGCCGGGAGGACAGGAGGGAUCGCCGGGAUCGGGCGGGGAUCGCAGCGAUUCUUCGCAGAAGGAGAUCGGGCGGGAGGAGCGAAGAUGGAUCCAGUGGCGGGCGAGGUUCUCUGCUGGGACGGAUCCGGGUAUCUGGACCGAAGGUCGUCUUCGUUUUUCUCCGCGCUCAACUUGGCUGGCACUUCUCGAUUUGGAGAAUGAUGUUCUUGCCGGCGAAUCCUUUCCGAACGGCGGCAUGCUCCAGGUAGGAUUUCAAUUCAAUUUUGAUGCAUAUGUAGUGGUCGUUGGCGAACGUGUGUAGAUCGAUGUGCGUCCUAAGGUGCCGGAGGUGGUCGAUCUGACGGCACCGACGGCCUCUACACGACCGGGCAGACGAUUUUGGGUAUUUUUGGAGAGCAAGGACGAAGAACAGGUGGAGGUUCAGGUUCCCACAAAAACACUUGUGACCUCGCAGGGGGCACGUGUGUUGCCGGAGCCCAACGCCACAACACUUCGUCGUCGAUCCAAAGUUCAAAUUUCCAAACCGCCGACGAAACCAUGGAUCGGUCCAAUUCCUAAGGUAAUCCGUGAACCUGUAACUUUGUCAGAUUUUUUGCCGGAAAAUUGGACUAUGGUCACGAGGAAGAAGAAGAAGGGAAAGAUUAUUCGGCCACCGCCGCCGCCAGGAUCGCCGGUGGCGAGAUCGGCGAGCGUGAUUCAAGCAGCCAGAAGGGCUCGUUUGAAUUCGUUAUUGGGCCUUGGGCCUGCGGUGGACGUAGUAAGAGAUACAGCGACGGUCGUGGAUCCUCUCGGUUUGGGCGAGGCCCAGCCAGAGGCCCAAGCCUCUCUGUAUCCAAAUCAUGCGGUCAUGCAUGUAUCGACGCUACCAGUGAAACCGUCGAUCGACUCUAGGGUUUUGCCUUCGGGGUUUCCUACGCUCGGCUCGGGACGGGCGAGGAGGGUCUCUCGCGUAAUGCGACAUGUCUGGACGAGGGCCGCCGCCCGCUGCUGGCUCCGCUCCUACGGGAGGCACUGGUCGUGGUGCUCCGCUGGUCCUUGGUGCCGCCGCUGCGGGCGGUGUCGGUCGUGUUCCGCUGACUGCUGGCGCUGGUGGCGCCGGUCGCGGCGCGUCGCCGGCUGCUGCGAAUGGCAACAUCGGGCGCGGCGGACUGCACCUUCAGAGACCGUCGGCUACGGGGACGAAACCCAGAGCCGGAGUCGGCCGGGGUGCUCCGACUGCCCCGCGGCAGGGUCCGGCGGUCGAUCCGGCCAGGUCUCAGGCGACGACGCACGCUGCUCCAUCCAUUGUACGUCAGCAGGAGGAUCCAGCUCAGCCACCGGCAGCCAAAGCUCUGGCCCUUGGACGGGGUCGUGGGGCGAACGGGCGUGGGGGCUAUACUGGUUACAGUAGAGAUGGAAGGAACUUCAACCGCUACGGGCAGUGGGGUGAUGAUGGAUACGAUGCAUAUGGUGAGGGAAUGCACCGUGGAUCUUCGUCCGGUGGCGGUCGGGGUUAUACUCGAUUUUCUGAUGAGGACGCGGGACAAUUUCAAGGGCCGCCCGGUCAUUUCGUUGAAGGUGUUGCCGGACCCAGGGAUCGUUUCCGAGGUGGCUAUCGUCACGGUGGGAGAGGGAAACGGCCACCACCGCCACGACACUACCCGCCGCCACCACCGCCAGCUAUAGAGGAGGCUUCGGGUGAGGUGAUUGAGCACGGGGCAGCUUCGGUGGGAGAUCCAUCCACGUUACCCGCAGCGGCAGUUGAUGCGGUUAGGGCUUUGGCAGCAGUGCAGGUUCCGGUGACUUCGGGAGGGACCAAACUUCGGGAGGGCACGUCUGACAAAGGGUCGGAGAAAGUGGAGGGAGAGAAACUAUCUAAGUGGGCGAUUAAGAAGAAGAAGUUGCCUUGCUAUCGAUGUGGUGAGCCGGGGCACUUCGUGGCAGAGUGUACUAAUGAGCUUUGCGAGUACUGUCUUCGUUCCCUGCAUGCGACUGGGGAAUGCCCUCUCCUCUCCGGUCCCAAGCCUGCCAUUAACAUUUUUGGGGUCUGCUGUAAGGAGUUGAUGUUUUUUGAGACACCGGAGGUCGAUCCUCUACCACAGAUGGUCGAGAGCUCUUUCCCGGUAGCUAUCAGAGUUACUAAUGGGCAGUUGACCGAAGCUCAGAUUAUCAGACAGUUACGUGAGUUAGUGCCGGGUAAUCAUCAGUGGCUUCUGGAGCAGUUAGAUGGUCAGUCUUAUAAGGUUGAUUGUCCCACUAAAGAAGAUCAGAUGCAUUUUCUUAAGUGGGGUUUAUGCCGUGUGACGAGUACAAACAUUGUUAUCGCUUUCGACGAGUGGAAGCAGGAGGAACCUGAAGGUACACCUCUACAGAAGGUAUGGGUUCGCUUUUAUGGGGUGCCACCUAAAUAUGUAAAACAUUUUCUGAUUGCUUGGAGUUUGGGUGGUCUCAUUGGUAAGACAGAAAAGGUUGACAUGCCUUUCACACGCGCACAAAAUGCGGCGAGAUUGUUGGUCAGUGUGGUGAGUGUUGAGCAUAUACCAGAUGUGGUCAGUUGGACACAUGCUGGAGUCACUUAUAUCUUAGAGCUCGAGAUUGAGGAUACUGCAGUCUCGGAGGAGGGAGAUGGGCCACAUGACAUGGACACGACUGAGGGUGGUGGUGCGCCCGGGAACCAGGAGAAGGGCGCUGAUGAUGCACUGCUGGAGUCGGAUAAGGGGCCUACGACAGAUAAGGUAGCCAGCUCUACCAAACAGGCGCCCUCGUCCACUACUCCGGUGAACACACUUCGUUUUGGUUCUUUUGCACCGGGGUCGGCUCCUAGCCGGUUAUGGAGCACCAGGGUUGAGGCAAACGACCCGGCAGAGCUUGAGCUGCCACCAGUGCCGAAUCUAGUCGGCGAUGUGACGUUUGCGGAGUCUACACCCGGGGCGCGGGUCGAUUCUGAGAGGUUGGUUGCGGGAGGGGCGCCUGGACAGGAUGUCUGUGGCACUUUUCCCAGUUUGACGACUCCGGCAGCUUUGGGGGUGAGGUGCGGGAAGGAGUCCCGUGUUAUAACCCCCUCACAGGAUCAUAUCUUCCGCAGUGGCACGUCGGGGGUGAGAUGCGGGAAGGAGUCCCGUGUCGCAACUCCUCCACUGUGUUGCAUCGAGCAGGGCAGUCGAGGGACGGCGGUUUCCGCGGGUGCCAAGGGGGGCGGGAUAUGUGAGCAGGCGGCUCCACGGUCCGUUUCCCCUGUGGCACAGGCGGCGGAGGUCCACUCCACAGCGCCCUCCCCUCCUUCACCGACGAUAAGGGAGGGGCGUGGGAGUCCUGACCGCACUCUUGGCGGGAAGACCACAGAGGAGCUCAUCGCUUUUGGCGGGAUUGCAGAUCCGGUGUCGGCUGGCAGGCGUGUCAGUAACCGGAUCCAGGGACAGCCGGACGCGGACGACCUGCAGCUAGCGCGUGCCAAGAGGGCUGCCAUGCUUCGUCAUGCUGAGAUCACUGCAGGUACGUCCUUUGAUACAAGUUGUUCCAUUUUAUACUUCUCUGAGAAUGAAAUUGUUGACAAGGCAAACGACUUAGGUAUUUCUUUGGGGUCAAAUGAAACCGAGGUCGUCAAAUCAGUUAACGAUCUUUUAGACUUGGAAGCGGAGAGGGCUUCAGAGAUCAUUCAUAAUCUUGCUUCUAUCCAAUCUUUGAAUGAUAAUGACAUGAACAAUUUAGGCAUUAAUGAUCUUACAUAUAUUUGUCAUAAUCUUUUACCGAGUGACGAGGCUGAAGAGGAGGAGGUUGUGGAGAACACAGAUACGGUCGAACCUCUCUUGAGGGAGGAGGUACUACCUGUCAUAGAUGAUUCCUUCGUACCGCAGGGUGUUGAGGAGAAGCCCAAAUGACCCUGGAAGCGGAAAAUUUAUCCUACUUCGGCAGUACGUAGGAGUGCUAGAGUAAAACUUAAGAAAAAAUUCCAUGAUGAUUUAUGAAAGGACUCUUUUGGAAUAGCAGAGGUCUAGCAGACUUGGCUAAACAAAGAUUCUUAGCAGAGACAACUUUAGAGCAUCACUUAGAUUUCAUUGCACUUUUAGAAACUGGACGAGAUAAGUUCACAUCCCAAUUUCUUCAAACCCUUUCCAGUGGUAUCGACUUUGAUUGGCACAUUUUACCCCCUAGAGGAAGAUCCGGCGGGAUUUUACUAGGUGUACGGUGUGAGUCGUUGGAGGUGCUUAAUGUGGUGCAGGGAGACUUUUCGGUUAAAUUUAGGGUGCGAUCAAAAUUGGAUGGUUUCCGAUGGUCGUUAGUUGCAGUAUAUGGGGCAGCGCAACCUGAAUUUAAACCCGACUUUCUUGCCGAUUUAGUGCGGAUUUGUGGAGAUGAGAAUCUGCCAUUACUAGUCGGGGGAGAUUUUAAUAUCAUUCGGAGAAGAGAAGAAAAGAAUAAUGACAAGUUCGAUGGCCGGUGGUCAAUGAUGUUUAACAUGAUUAUCGAGAGCCUCAAUUUGAGAGAAAUUGAGCUCACCGGUAGACAGUUUACAUGGGCUAAUUCGUUACCUACUCCGACAUAUGAGAAGUUGGAUAGGGUACUUGCUAGUGUGGAGUGGGAACAAAAAUAUCCCAUGGUGUCGGUUCAUGCGAUGCAAAGAGCGAUCUCGGACCAUACACCACUCCUUUUAGAUUCGGGAGAGGCUACCCAUGUUGCAAACAAAAAUACCUUCUCCUUCGAGCAAAGUUGGUUUGAGCGAGAAGGAUUUAUGGAGAUGAUUGCACGCGAAUGGGAUUUACCAGUUAUGGGUAUGACGCAUGUCGAGAGAUGGCAGAAUAAGAUUAGACAUCUCCGACAAUUUCUGAGAGGUUGGGCCAGGAAUGAGAGUGGGAUUUAUAAGAAGAAAAAAGAAAGUCUAACUCAACUCAUUGAGGCACUAGAUGUAAAAGCUGAAACAACUCUUCUUUCUGUGAUUGAGCAUCGCACCAAGUCAGAGGCUGAGCAAGGCCUACGUGCUCUCUUGAGAGAGGAGGAACUCAAGUGGGCGUUACGUGCGAAAUCGCUUAAAGUUGUACAAGGGGACAACAAUACACAGUUCUUCCAUAUGAUUGCAAAUGGUAAACAUAGGAAGAAGAAGGUUAUACAGCUUGAACAAGACGAAGGAACAAUUGUGGGGCACGAAAAUCUGAAAUCAUAUAUUUCCAAUUAUUAUAAAAACCUUUUUGGGCCCCCGAUUACUUCCACGGUGUCUCUUGAUGAGUCGGUGAUUGAUGAUAUACCUCAAUUACAGGCAGCGGAGAAUGAUAUUCUCUCGGCACCGUUUACUGAAAAAGAAGUUCAUCUGGCCAUAACUCAAAUGAAGCCGAAUAAAGCACCGGGACCAGAUGGGUUCCCAGCUGAAUUCUAUCAGAAAUGUUGGCAUAUCAUUAAAGAUGAUCUUAUGCCUAUGUUUCAUGAUUUUUUUGAUGGCCAUUUGGAGUUGUUUCACCUCAACUUUGGUACUAUUACAUUAUUACCGAAGAGGAAUGAGGCGGUCAGAAUAGAACAAUUUCGACCCAUUUGCCUGCUGAAUGCGAGUUUUAAAUUUUUUACAAAGGUAGGAACCAAUAGAUUGACGCAAGUUGCUCACUCAGUGGUUCAACCUAGUCAGACAGCUUUCAUGUCUGGACGACACAUACUCGAAGGAGUGGUUGUCUUACAUGAAACACUCCAUGAAAUUCAUUCAAAGAAACUGGACGGGGUUAUCUUAAAAGUGGAUUUCGAGAAGGCUUAUGAUAAAGUUAAAUGGCCUUUUCUUCAGCAGGCAAUGCGUAUGAAGGGUUUUAGUGAACGCUGGAGGCACCAGGUGAAUACUCAAGUCCAGAAAGGUAGUGUCGGAAUUAAGGUGAACGAUGACAUCGGUCACUACUUCCAGACGCAUAAGGGGUUGAGACAAGGGGAUUCCAUGUCACCUCUUCUGUUCAAUAUUGUGGCAGAUAUGCUGGCCGUCAUUAUUGGCAGGGCCAAGCAACAUGGCCAUGUAGAAGGUCUAGUUCCUCAUCUGAUUGAUGGAGGAGUGUCCAUUCUAUAAUAUGCUGAUGGCACUAUCCUUUUCAUGGAACAUGACAUGGCUAAGGCACGUAAUAUGAAACUUAUCCUAUGUCUAUUCGAACAAUUGUCUGGAUUAAAAAUUAAUUUUCAUAAGAGCGAGGUGUUCUGCUUUGGGAAGGCUAAAGAAGAGGAACAUUGUGACGCCCCCGAUUUGACCGUACACUAAUCAUGCACGCAAAUGUGUACGAUCACGAUCAGGGACUCACGGGAAGAUAGCACAACACAACUCUACAACAUAAAUAAGUCAUACAAGCAUUAUAAUAAAAGCUAGGGCCUCGAGGGCUCGAAUACAAUUGCUCGAUCAUAGACGAGUCAGCGGAAGCAACAAUAUCUGAGUACAGACAUAAGUUAAACAAGUUUGCCUUAAGAAGGCUAGCACAAAAGUAGCAACGAUCGAAAAGGCAAGGCCUCCUGCCUGGGACCUCCUAACUACUCCUGGUCGUCGUCAGCGGCCUGCACGUAGUAGUAGGCAUCUCCAGUGUCGUAGGUGUCGUAGUCGACGGUGGCGUCUGGCUCCUGGACUCCAGCAUCUGGUUGCGACAACCAGAUAGAAAGGAAAAAGGGGGGAAAGAGGGAGAGAAGUAACCGUGAGUACUCAUCCAAAGUACUCGCAAGCAAGGAGCUAUACUACAUAUGCAUGAGUAUAUGUGUAAAGGGGCAUAUCAGUGGACUGAACUGCAGAAUGCCAGAAUAAGAGGGGGAUAGCUAGUCCUGUCGAAGACUACGCUUCUGGCCACCUCCAUCUUGCAGCAUGUAGAAGAGAGUAGAUGGUAAGUUCACCAAGUAGCAUCGCAUAGCAUAAUCCUACCCGGCGAUCCCCUCCUCGUCGCCCUGUUAGAGAGCGAUCACCGGGUUGUAUCUGGCACUUGGAAGGGUGUAUUUUAUUCAGUAUCCAGUUCUAGUUGUCAUAAGCUCAAGGUACAACUCCGGGUCGUCCUUUUACCGAGGGACACGGCUAUUCGAAUAGAUAAACUUCCCUGCAGGGGUGCACCACAUAACCCAACACGGUCGAUCCCAUUUGGCCGGACACACUUUUCUGGGUCAUGCCCGGCCUCGUAAGAUCAACACGUCGCAGCCCCACCUAGGCUCAACAGAGAGGUCAGCACGCCGGUCUAAACCUAUGCGCGCAGGGGUCUGGGCCCAUCGCCCUAUGCACACCUGCACGUUGCGUACGCGGCCGGAAGCAGACCUAGCCCCCUUAAUACAAGCGCGAGCUUACGGUCCAAUGCGGCGCGCGCCACUCAGUUGCUGACGUCAAAAGAGCUUCGGCUGAUACCACGACGUCGGGAUACCCAUAACUACUCCCACGUAGAUGGUUAGUGCGUAUAGACCAAAUGGCCAGACUCAGAUCAAAUACCAAGAUCUCGUUAAGCGUGUUAAGUAACCGCGAACGUCGACCAGGGCCAGGCCCACCUCUCACCUAGGCGGUCUCAACCUGCCCUGUCGCUCCGCCACAAAGAUCCACUCGCGGGUACUCCUAUGAGCCGACCCGACUUAAAUCAUCACAUGUGUCAUGUAUAUAGUAUAUAAGUAUAUACCCGUGAUCACCGCCCAGGUGAUCACGGCCCGAUAGUAUAGCACAGCAGACGGACAAGAAUGUAGGGCCACUGAUGGAAAACUAGCAUCCUAGACUAAGCAUGUAGGAUUGCAGGUAAAGGUAACAACAAUAGUAGCAAGGAUAGGCUAUGCAUCAGAAUAGGAUAUCGGAAAGCAGUAACAUGCUACACUACUCUAAUGCAAGCAGUAUAGAGAAGUAUAGGCGAUAUCUGGUGAUCAGGGGGGGGCUUGCCUGGUUGCUCUGGCAAGUAGAAGGGGUCGUCGACUCCGUAGUCGAACUGGGCAGCAGCAGUGUCGGUCUCGUAGUCUACCGGAGAGAAGAGGGGGAAGAAACAGUAAAUACAAUGCAAACAUAAGCAUGACGAUGCGUGACAUGACAAUGAGCGGUGCUAGGGGUGUCCUAACGCGACAGUAGGUGGUACCGGUGAAGGGGGGGAACAUCCGGGAGGUAUUCCCGAUGUUUUGCGUUUUCGGAGAGACGGACCGGAGGGGGAAAGUUGCUAGUUCGAUAGGUUAGGGAGGUGUGGUGAACGAACGGACUGCGUAUUUGGAUUCGUCUCGUCGUUCUGAGCAACUUUCAUAUAGAAAACAUUUUCAUCCGAGUUACGGUUUAAAAGAUAUGAAUUUUCAAAGUUUAUUUGAAUUUCUGGAAUUAUUUAUAUUAAGCAAAAAUGAAAUAUGACGUCAGCAUGAGGCAAUGCUGACGUCAGCAGGUCAACAGGUCGGCUGACCAGUCAAACCAGACAGGUGGGUCCAGUGGGACCCACAUGUCAGCCUCUGUUAGUCUAAUAUUUAUUUAAACUAAACUAAUAGUCUAAUUAGAGGGGUGGGCCCCAUAUGUCAGUGAGUGAUUAGUUAAACUAAUUAUUUUUAUUUAUAAAACAUUUUUCUUUUUCUUUUCCUUUUUUUUUACGGCGGGGCCCGCAUGUCAGUGGCUGGGCCUGCCCAGUCAGCACAUUGACUGGGUUGGCCCAGUCAACGGGGCCCACUAGCAGUGGCACUGGGGUGGCCCCAGGCCAGCCACGUCGGCGGCCGGCGCCGGAGCGACUCCGGCGAGCCAAACGCGGCGGCGCGGCUCGGGAGGGGUGCGGGUUUCACGCACAGUGGGUUUGCGGGGUCGUGNNNNNNNNNNCUGCCCAGUCAGCAGUUGACUGGGUCAACCCAGUCAACGGGGCCCACGGGGCCCACUGGCAGUGGCACUGGGGGGGCCCCAGGCCAGCCACGUCGGCGGCCGGCGCCGGAGCGACUCCGGCGAGCCAAACGCGGCGGCGCGGCUCGGGAGGGGUGCGGGUUUCACGCACAGUGGGUUUGCGGGGUCGUGGCUGGGCGCGUUCGACGCGGCUCGGCGCCGCGCGUCCAACGGUGGUGGCCGGAGGGGCUGGAACGGGCGGGGGCGAGCGCUACGAGCUCGCCGGCGGCGAGGUACUUCGGGUUGGGGCGGGUGCGGCGUUAGAGCGCGCGAGCGGCCGAACUAUCUAGCUAGGCGGGUGCGGCACGAUGCGGUCGAACUAACGGGCCUACCCCCAUGACCAUUUGGUCACCGGAGACCCGCCGGCGACGAGCUCCGCGGCGCGGCGUUCGGGCGCGCGUGGGGGAGCAGCUAGGGAACGUGGGCGAGCUAACGGAGAGGGGGAGGAGAAGCGGGAGCUCACAGCGGAGCCGUAGGGGUUGGCAGUGAGCUCGGGGAGGGCGCGGGGUAGCCGGAAUCGGCGACGAACGCCGGCGACCCGAAGGUUGAAGACGAGCUCGUGGAGGUCGGUGCAGAGGCGCUCGGCUCGUUCCCGAUGGCGUAGUCGACGUAGUCGACGGCGGGGAGCCGUUCGGGCACGUCGUCGGGGCAAUCGGGGCACGGUGGCCGCGGGAACGACGGUGAACGGCGGCGAGCACGCUCGGGCAGAGGGGAUCGAAGGGGAGAGGGAGGUGGAUCUGACGUGGGGGAAGGCGCAGAGGCCGAGAGGGAGAGCGGUGGUGAGUGGGAGAGAGGCCCGAGGAGGCGGGGGGUGCUGGCGCCCUUAUCCUCCCCGUCGCCGGCGAGGGGGUGCGGCGGGGACGGCCCCUGUUCCGACCCCGGUCGGGGGAACNNNNNNNNNNNNNNNNNNNNNNNNNNNNNNNNNNNNNNNNNNNNNNNNNNNNNNNNNNNNNNNNNNNNNNNNNNNGGGGGGGGAAGGGCCUUCUCCUUUUUUUUUCCUUUGUCUGUUCUGUUUUCUGUUUUCUUUUUAUUUGCUUAUUUUCUUUUUCUGUUUUAUUUCAUUUAAAAGUAUUUAGGUAUUUUAUAAAAAUGUGUUUUCUCCACCAUAAUUACCAGUGUAUUAUUUGGCACCCACUGAACAUUUUUGUUUAAAUUUUUGAAAACUUUUAUUUUCCACUUUCAAAUUUAAUUGAAGUUUGAACUAGGAGUUUGAAAAGGAAUGUGAUUCAAAUGUGAUCAAGCCCUGUUUAGCAACAUGAUUAGCUUAAUCACAGGGAGUUACUGUAGUAUGAUUCUCAGGGUGUUACAAACAUACUUACAGACAAUUGUUUGGAUGCGAAGUAGGUGCUUUACCAUUCAGGUACUUGGGUAUUCCGAUUCAUCACCAUAAACUCUCCAAUAAGGAAUGGAAAUGUAUUGAAGAACGAAUUGAAAAAAAAACUCAGCUGUUGGAAGGGUAAGCUGAUGUCAUAUGGAGGUCGACUAGUUUUGAUUCACUCCGUAUUGACUAGCAUGCCAAUGUUUUUACUUUCGUUCUUCGAAAUUCCGAAAGGGGUCCGCAAGCGGCUUGAUUUCUUUCGAUCUCGUUUCUUUUGGCAAUCUGAGGAGUCCAAGAGGAAGUACCGUCUCGCACGAUGGGAUAUCCUUUGUCGACCUAAAGACCAAGGGGGGCUCGGUAUUGAGAAUUUGGAAGUUAAGAAUAAAUGCCUUAUGAGCAAAUGGUUGUAUAGGUUAGAGACAGAGCCGGAGGGCAUGUGGUCUCAAAUCCUACGCAAUAAAUACUUGCACUCGAAAACUCUAGCCCAGGUUACUAUCAGACCGAAUGAUUCACCGUUCUGGAAGGGACUUAUGAGAACGAAAGGUUUGUUCUUCCGUAGGAUCAAAUUCGUGAUUGGCAACAGGAUGUCAACAAGAUUUUGGGAGGACACGUGGCUAGGAGAGACACCUCUGGCCUUACAAUACCCUACCCUUUACAAUAUUGUGCAACGUAAGGAAGAUUACGUAGGUAUUGUCUUUCAAAAUAUUCCCUUGAACAUCCAGUUCCGACGUACGUUAGUGGGGGAGAGAUGGACAGCCUGGAUGCACCUGGUUCGGAGAUUGAUCGAAGUUCGACUCUCCAACAGGCCAGACUCCAUGCACUGGAUGUUAACUAAAAAUGGGAUAUUUACGGUGAAAACAUUUUAUACGGAUUUGAUUAAUUCUGGCUCCCUCUCAAGAUCACUUCAUAUUUGGAAGAUUAAGGUUCCUUUGCGGAUUAAAAUUUUCAUGUGGUUUGUUCACAAGCAAGUAAUACUCACAAAGGAUAACCUAAUCAAGAGGCGAUGGGUAGGAAAUGCGCGGUGUUGUUUCUGUGCUCAAGACGAGACAAUACAACAUUUAUUUAUUGAAUGCCCACUUGCCAAGUUACUUUGGAGAACGAUUCAUAUAGCUUUUAAUAUUACCCCCCCUAUAGAUAUUGCGUCUUUGUUUGGGACGUGGUUAGCUGGGUUGAACAGGUCACGGCAGCUCGUAUUCGGAUUGGAAUAUGUGCGUUAUUAUGGGCUAUAUGGAAUUGCAGAAACGAUGUGAUAUUUACCAGACAACACAACUUAACUUUUUUGCAGGUUAUCUUCAGAGCUACAGCUUGGAUCCGUACGUGGUCCUUACUCACUCCUAUGGACUCCAGGGAGCCUUUGGUUACUGGGUGCAACCAAUGGGAGAUGGUGGCUCGAGCUAUAUUCAACCGGUUCGGAUGGCGGUCGCAUAACAGGAUAGGAGUUUAAAGAGAUUUUCCUUAUUAUUACCAUACCGGUUGUCUUUGUCCGCUUGUACUUUUCAGUUUUUAUGCCUUGUGCUCUGCUCCAUUUGUGAGCUGUAAGACCUUUGCGGUGAUAAUUUCGGGAUUUUUAAUAAAAGGGCUGCAUGCAUCAUUAUGAUGCAGAGGCCGCGGGUAUACCUCCAUUUCCAAAAAAA
rnacentral:lncRNA from 1 species